UCAAGGUCUCUCCACCAACACCCGUGAACCCUGUCCAAAGCUUUUCUACACACUUGAAAAGUAAUCACAGUAAAACGUUAGCAACAAUAUGAUUUCCAUCCUGGAUUACUGAUAUUGCAGAAAGAAGAUAGUUAUACAAGGGUGGCACUGAACACACAAGAAACAAAUGAUUCACGGUAGCAUUAGAGGCACCAGCAAAGGACACACUUUUAGAGAAAGGAAUCUGCUCCCCUGUGGCUCUCCAAAUCACACUCCUUAGGCACCACAUCUACAGGGAAGACCCAGGUAGAGACUGUGAGGAUCUCAAUGGCCUGGUGGGCCACAAGAUCACUUCUGCUUCCGGCUGGAAUGCUCCUUCUCCACAGAGUCCGGAAACUGACAUAUGCAGCCACCCACCCAGAAGGACAUGUCCAAGAAGGAAUGGAAAGAAAAAUGAUGGCCCAGAUGUUCUGUAGCUUGCAGUGACUGCCAAUUCACCACAGACCCCAGUACCUGGGAGGGCAAGGCAGCAUCAGGCUCUUGCUUCCUGGUUUCAGGCAGCCAGGGCCCUGAUGGUGGGUGGCAACUCUGACAGAAUGCAGACUGGCCAGGGGAGAAACCUUUAGAAGGGCACUGGCUGACGGGACUUGGGGGUUGAACACACAGCGCUGAUUUAUCACUUCCUUACUCAUAAAAAUGUGAUUCGAACUGCUGCUGAUUAGUGAAGGAUUUCAAUCUUUACCCUCUCCCCAACCCCCCUCCUUCUCCACCCC
rnacentral:lncRNA from 1 species